rnacentral:lncRNA from 1 species
AUGCGGAUGAGAGAAUACACUAGGAAGUGCUGUGAGCAACUUCUCAGUUGUGUGAUCCUAGAGUAUUGGGACAGGAGCAAAUCAAGAAAAGCUGCUUCAGCUCUGCUGUUUUCCCUCUUCGAUGCUGGAUGGAGGACCUGUCUGCUGACAGAGAUCAGCUCUGUGUUGAUGAUCAUGUCUUUGAUAUUAGGUAAGUGAGGGUAUGAUGCGGAGAAUACAGAUGCUGUUCUUGGAACUGCAUGUUCUGAACUGUCAUUGUGUAUGUUUGUGGGUAGCAGAGGAGAGGACACAAGAGCUACAACAGAGCUUCUUUGGAUGUGGUGAGGCUUUCUCUAGUUUUGGGAGCAAUCAUGCACUAUUUGACAAAAUGUAUAAGUUACCAAUUUAAGACUAGGAAAACAGAAGCAGGACAAUCUGUUUGAAGUUCUGUGAAGUGUGUUUAGUACAAAAAAAGUAGGAGAUGGAACCGGAAACAAAGACUAAUAGCGCAGAAGAGAACGAGCUAUCAUUCUAGGACUGUUCCUACUAACCAUUUCUAUUAAUGGCCCUCUUACAAAAGGCAGCAUAUAAAUGAUUUUUUUUUUUUGAAGCCUAACAUUAAUAGAGAAAGAUCUGAGUCGUGUGAGAAAUAGUUGGAUAACUCCUGAAGACUAGCACAACAAGUGAAAUUAAGUAUCAAGUAAGAUAAUAUUUUUUCCAAUCAGAUGAGAUAUUGAUGUGAUACAGCUACAGGAAAUGCCAUCCCAAAGUAUGAAACUUCCAGAUGAGCAAUCAGUAUUAAUGCCAGAAUACAAAACGCUGGUGUGAACUCUGCAGUAAUGCACACAAAUUCCAGCUAUUGAACUACAAAAAAGAGUGAAUUCAAAGCAAAACAUGUAUAGUGAGGUGUUGGUAGGGAAAAGGAGAACUUUGUGUAACAGCUAGGUAAGCAACAGGAGUAAGGAAUAGCUUUACCUGUUCUUACCUCUUCCAUGAUAACAAUUUAGCCCUUAGGGAAAUGAUAGCAAGAACAAGCAGAUGAUGGUUACUGGCGAAUUAUUAAGCUGCAAGUGUACAACAUGGCCACAGUCUGACAGUGGGGCUUGCUGGGCCUAAGGAAAAGAGGGAAUGUUGUUUUAUGUAACUACAGGAAGAGAAAGGUAGGAAAGCAACCAAGGAAAAGAGCUCCUGAAGCCGAAUCAGUUCUUCACAAAAUGGC